rnacentral:lncRNA from 1 species
GGCAGUGACUCAGCUGUGGCCUGGGGUGGGGGUGACCAGGCUAUUUUGGGGGAAUGAAUAAGGAGGGGCAUUUGAUACCUGGAUGACCCUGCCUCUAAUCCUCUGAAUCCCCUUUCUCUAGGCUGGGCUGGUUUCUUGUGUGGAUGCCAUGUACACCAUCGUGUGGGGUCAGAGCCCUCUGAGAGGAGCCCAGCCUUCCUCCCUCCUCAUUCCCCUGUCUUCAUUCCAGAGAGAAGGGGUUGGGGGAAUUUCUGAAUAACCGCCCCCAGCUCCUCAAGAGGGCCCUAGUUUCCACACUAUUCUCUAGGUCCUUGUCCACUUCUGGACUCUUCCCUGUGACUCAGGGCCUAGACUCUCUGGGAAUGGAGAGGGAGAGGAAUGUGGCACAAGGGAGCUGACUUGGGGGCUAUUUCUGACUCUGGAGUCAUCAGCUGCUCAGUCACAGACGAGGGUGGCAGUGAGGUAGGGGUAUCACAUUUGCCUCCUCUUUGCUCCCUGGAAGAGCCUGAGGGACCUGGUGGGCUUCAGAGAUGCGGGCACUUGGACCGGUCUACAGUGUACACCUUGGCGGAAUCGUCCCCUUAGAUGAGAACCGAAAGGGCUGCUGAAUCCUGGAGACUGGAGCAUUUGUAAAGAAUAGAGGCUUGUUUCACCGCAUAGUUCUGUAGGCUGGAAGAUCAGGGGCUGCAUCUGGCUGGAUCAUAACACAAGAG